GCGGAGCUGUCCUGCUGUGCAGCGCAAGGGAAAGUCGACCAGCACCGUUGCUGUCCGAGGACCCUGGAACAGCCCGAGAGACCCUGGAACAGCCACCCCACGGACACCGUGUCACUGCCUCGCAAGGCCACUGCAUGCAGGGUAGCCCACCGAAGGGGGACAUCUCGAAGAGAAGCAGCAAGACCUGGGGAUCCGGUGGUUCAUUUUGGUCGUCGCCUGUGAGGCCAGCAUGCAAGAGUAAGAGGAAGCUAGGAGCAGUCUCAAAAAGAGAUGGAACCAAGGACAGCAAAUGCUGACGAGGAGAAGAGACGGACGAGCGUUUGCUUGCGGUUAAUACCGAAGGGACGGGAUGAAACAAGGAAGCCAGAAUGCAGCGGCCCCUCGAUAUCACCAGGAACUGCUACAGGAGGAGGCGUUCUGGCACGGGUAACUAGGGUAAGUAUGGCUAAUGACCGUUAGCAGUUAUUUCGGCCUCCCCGAGGCAGCGCUGAGGACUAAGUAACCUGAGGGGCUCUGGCCUGGGUUGGGGCAGAAGUGCAGGCAGGCGGGAUCAGGCAUUUUCCUCUCAGCUCUCCGAGCUGAAUCCUAGCCCUGAAGGAAAAAGCACUGGGGGGAGGCUACUCGGACACCUGCCAUGUCGAGGGCAGGGGCAGGAGCUGACCCUUCCCCGACGGACGGACGUACGGACAGACGCUGGUGCGGCGGUGACUCUUUGGAUAUCGUAGGUAAGGGGAGGCACGCUGGUGCCGAGCUCCAGGGCGGUUUGCCUGAACACGAUGCCUGAGGCAGGAGGUUAUGCAUUGUGUCCGGGGCUGGGAGCUGGUCCCCGAGUCCCAUGUACUUGGGAGUGCCUGCACUUGCCAGGGAGCCCGGUGCUGUUCCCAGAGCUGCGGGGAAUUUCCCUUGCGUUGCCUGGACCCUCGGGGCUCUUGGGGGUGUUUCCCCUCAUCGCGAGGGCUGCCAGAGCCCCUCCAGGGCUGCGUGAGGUCCCCGAACCGCUCCCGGAUUUGCUUUUGGCACUCCGCAGUGUCGCUCGUGUGCCUGGGGCAGCCUGCAGGCGCCAUCCUGUCAGCCGCGUUGAGCCCUGCGGCGUGCCUGGUGACCCCUCUGGUGUGCGCCAAGGCCCUUCCUCUGUAUUUUGGUCUGCCCCAGAGCCCUGCACUUGCCCUCUGAUGCCCUCAGGACCCCUCAGUUCACAUUCUGGGUUGCCCCCGAGCCC